AUUGAACGCUGGCGGCAGGCCUAACACAUGCAAGUCGAGCGAGCGGCGGACGGGUGAGUAAUGUAUGGGGACUGCCCGAUAGAGGGGGAUCACUACUGGAAACGGUGGCUAAUACCGCAUACUAUCGGAUAACCCAUAUGGGAUUAGCUAGUUGGUGGGGUACUGGCUCACCAAGGCGACGAUCCCUAGCUGGUCUGAGAGGAUGAUGAGCCACACUGGGACGGAGACACGGCCCAGACUCCUACGGAGGCAGCAGUGGGGAAUAUUGGACAAUGGGGGAAAGCCUGAUGCAGCCAUGCCGCGUGUAUGAAGAAGGCCCUAGGGUUGUAAAGUACUUUCAGUGGGGAGGCGUUACCGACAGAAGAAGCACCGGCUAACUCCGUGCCAGCAGCCGCGGUAAUUC
rnacentral:rRNA from 1 species